rnacentral:rRNA from 1 species
GCAGUCUGCAACUCGACUGCAUGAAGCUGGAAUCGCUAGUAAUCGCGAAUCAGAAUGUCGCGGUGAAUACGUUCCCGGGUCUUGUACACACCGCCCGUCACACCAUGGGAGUUGGAAGCGCCCGAAGUCUGUGACCUAACCGUAAGGGAGGAGCAGCCGAAGGUGAAGCCAGUGACUGGGGUGAAGUCGUAACAAGGUAAC